rnacentral:rRNA from 1 species
AUUCCAGCUCCAAUAGCGUAUAUUAAAGUUGUUGCAGUUAAAAAGCUCGUAGUUGAACCUUGGGCCUGGCCGAUCUGUCUUCCUAACCGUUGUACGGAGUCGGUCGGGCCUUUCCUUCUGGGGAACCUCAUGCCCUUUAUUGGGCGUGCUGGGGAACCAGGACUUUUACCUUGAAAAAAUUAGAGUGUUCAAAGCAGGCCUUUGCUCGAAUACAUUAGCAUGGAAUAAUGGAAUAGGACAGCAGUUCUAUUUUGUUGGUUUCUAGGACCGCUGUAAUGAUUAAUAGGGAUAGUCGGGGGCGUCAGUAUUCAAUUGUCAGAGGUGAAAUUCUUGGAUUUAUUGAAGACUAACUAUUGCGAAAGCAUUCGCCAAGGAUGUUUUCAUCG